GUGCGAGACCGAUAGCGAACAAGUACCGUGAGGGAAAGAUGAAAAGAACUUUGAAAAGAGAGUUAAAGAGUACCUGAAACUGCUGAAAGGGAAGCGAAUCGUAUCCAGUGUCUAUAAUCUGCGACAUAUUUCAUUGGCGGCAGUGUGCGUGCUUUUGCGUCGGAAGCGGCUUUUGUUGCUCUGUGCUUUUGCUGUGCGCGCUGUUGCUGUUGCCCUGUGUUGCGGUGGGACGUCAGAGUCAGUUCGUAUGCUGCGGGAAAUGGCCGCCGAGGAGGUAGGUCAGGAUUUCGGUCUUGGCUGUUAUAUCUUGGUGGUUUGUUGUCGUGGUUGGGACUGAGGUGCCUACAAUGUGCUUUUGAGUGUUCCGGGUUCUCAUUUGGUGGACUGUUUGGAUAGCUUGCUAUGCUUGUGGUUUUUUCAUCGAGUGAUUGAGUCUGGUGGUAACUUGUUGCUGUUCGGGACUUUGAA
rnacentral:rRNA from 1 species